rnacentral:piRNA from 1 species
UCCCUUCCAGUCUUGGGGGACCACCCUAUGC